rnacentral:rRNA from 1 species
GGAUAACCUGCCCUUGGGACCGGGAUAACCCCGGGAAACUGGGGAUAAUACCGGAUAACGCAUAUCUGCUGGAAUGCUUUAUGCGUAAAAUGGAUUUGUCUGCCCAAGGAUGGGUCUGCGGCCUAUCAGGUAGUAGUGGGUGUAAUGUACCUACUAGCCUACGACGGGUACGGGUUGUGAGAGCAAGAGCCCGGAGAUGGAUUCUGAGACAUGAAUCCAGGCCCUACGGGGCGCAGCAGGCGCGAAAACUUUACAAUGCGGGAAACCGUGAUAAGGGGACACCGAGUGCCAGCAUCAUAUGUUGGCUGUCCAGAUGUGUAAAAUACAUCUGUUAGCAAGGGCCGGGCAAGACCGGUGCCAGCCGCCGCGGUAACACCGGCGGCCCGAGUGGUGAUCGUGAUUAUUGGGUCUAAAGGGUCCGUAGCCGGUUUGGUCAGUCCUCCGGGAAAUCUGACGGCUCAACCGUUAGGCUUUCGGUGGAUACUGCCAGACUUGGAACCGGGAGAGGUAAGAGGUACUACAGGGGUAGGAGUGAAAUCUUGUAAUCCCUGUGAGACCACCUGUGGCGAAGGCGUCUUACCAGAACGGGUUCGACGGUGAGGGACGAAAGCUGGGGGCACGAACCGGAUUAGAUACCCGGGUAGUCCCAGCCGUAAACGAUGCUCGCUAGGUGUCAGGCAUGGCGCGACCGUGUCUGGUGCCGCAGGGAAGCCGUGAAGCGAGCCACCUGGGAAGUACGGCCGCAAGGCUGAAACU